rnacentral:lncRNA from 1 species
UCUACAUUUCUAUCUCUCUCUCUUCUCUCUCUCUCUCUCUACCCCGCGCAAGCCUCCCUCUCGAUUUUUCAAAAUUCUUCUCAAAAAUUUCUACAGUUUUAAAAAUCGGUCCAACAAAUGCAAAUAAAUCUUCAUAAACCUCGAUCUAAGGUAACUUACAAUUUCGAUUUCGAUUAGUCCAAACUCUGAUCAAUUUUUGAAAUUUUGUUUAUAAAUUGAGAUUGAAAUCUUCAUUUGUUUGAUAUUUUGUUUGUUCUUUUUUUCUUCAAUUAGGGCUUUAUUGUGGAUGGAAAAUGGUGGUGAUUUAUAUUGAUAAAAUACAUGUAUUCCUACUAUUGCUCAGUUUUGUGGACCAAUUCCUGACUUUUUUUGUUUGUGAGAAGAAAGGGCAAAUAAGUGGGUUUAUAAGAAUUUAGUAGAAUUAUUUGUCCAAUUUUAUGAAAAGAAAUGAAUAGGAAUUUUCAUUAAGAAAUGAUAAAAUGCCUUAAUUAGGAUAGAACUACUUCUAUUUGCUUUCUAUAGAAAAAUGAGAAAUAUUAGUGCUCUUUGAUCAAUCUUGACUGUUAUGGAACAAUCUAUCAAGAUAAACUGUUGUUUUCGACUGUUAUGUUCUGAAAUUCUUGACAGUUAAUACUUUUUAUCGACAGUUUUGUUCAUAUGCCAAAUUUGAUUUAAUUUUUCUUCUGUGUGUUAUGAAUUAAAUGUACGACAUUUCAUCAUCAUCAGGCCUUUGUUAUUUCUUUUUGUUAUUGAUGUUUGCAGGUGAUUUUUGAAUUUCAUUUAUCUUAAAAACAACACAUAUUUUGCAGCACAGUAAUCUGAAGUACAUUAAAUUAUACUUGAGAAAUUCACGGGGAAAUUUAUCAAGAAAUUUACAAUAGACUGUAAUCUUAAAAAAAAUGAGACCUAAUCAACUAUUAAGGAAAUAUCUAUAAAGAUUGAAUUCAAAUUUAAUAACGUAGUACUCUUUAUUAAUUUUUAUCUGCUUAAAAAUUUUUAAGCAAUAAAUUUAAUACUCUUUUCCGACCAAAUGAAAUUUAGCCCCCCAUUUGGCCCCCAUUAGUUUUCAUUUCACUACAUUUCAUUUUUCUUUCUCCUAUUUUAAACCACACAAUCUUCUAUAAAAUAAUAUUACACGUAAAUCGAAAAUUUUUGCUUCUUUUUCAUCCACUUAUUUUUCAAAAAAACAUUAUUCCACCCAUUAAUGUUACCACAAAAUGGGGGCUAUACGGGGGCUUAAUAAAUGUAACAAUGAGGUGCUUUAUUUACUUGAUUCAAUGACUUACUAACAUCACAAAAUUCGUUCUUUAGAUUUUUUGAACCUGAGACGAGACAUUUUUUCUUGAUUAUGGUCCAUCCAUAGUGUUACAUUGAGCAGAUGGGCGGUGAUAGUACUUUUGUGUAAUUUUAUACUUCAUAUUACGCCUUGAUUUAUUUACCAUGGGUAGAAGAAUCGUGUCAAUAAUUCCUUUUCCAAACUUGAGCAAUGUAUCCAGCCCAACCUCUCUAUUACUCAAUUAGGAACAUCAUAGUGUGUUUGACUAUAUACUGUUGUACGAAGAUGAGUCGGUUGAUAAAGAGUACUUUUUGAACUUCCC